rnacentral:lncRNA from 1 species
CUGCCUGUCUCACGAGCCCCUAUUUCCUGUUGUAGAUGGUGACCAGCUUGUCCUGGUUUGCUUGGAACUGUCCUGGUUUUCAAAUGUGGCUCUGCACUUGAUGUCAAGGAACACAGCCAUUGCACCACAGCUUGGUCCUCUGACAGUGGCCCAGCCACGGCUCCGAGGAUAUGCGCCCUCCCUGGGCAUUUCCAGGCCUUCCUGUUGGCUGUGUUCUUUGUCCUGAUCAACGUCCCCCCGCAGAUCCCUCCCUGCACGCAGGAGUUGGUGGUGAGGGACUGGCCCUGCGCUUCGGCUCCUAGAUUCUCCAUGCAGCAAUCACAGCCCAACCACCAACUCCUCACUCAUCAGGAGCUCACACUUGCUGCAACCUCAGGCUUCUAGACUUCGGCUGGGGCCAUGGAUCGUGGCCUCUGAGCUCCACAGGUCCUCAUGCAUGAUGUAGCCUGUGUCUUUAUCUUGAUCCUCUGAGGGUACCUAAUGCCCAAGAAUUAUGAGCUGUUAUUAUCAUUAUUAUAGACAAGAAGCUGGAAGAAGGUGCAGGAGGCUUUGAGGGUAGGGGCAUGCUGACAGCAGAGCAUGGAAAACUAAGAGCAGAGCUCAGGUGCGUAGGCUGGACAUGGUCCCACGGCUCAGCAGGUGAAGGGGUUAACAGCUCUUCUUCAUGGCUGAAGGAGCUACGUCCUUUCUGGAAAGACUUCCAUCAAGUUAGGGAGAACAAACAGAGCUGUGACACCAUCAGAGUGGGCCCCUGAGGACAAGAAAUUGACAUGGGGGAUGUAGCCAUGAAGUGGUGACUGCCAACGUGCCUCUGAUGUUUGCUGAGAACUUUGUGCCUCUUUCCAUAGCCUCAUGGCUGCAGUCCCAUUUGAGCCUCAGAAUGGUCCCUGUCAGGCAAAAUGACUGCUCUGCUUUAUAGAUUAGAAAACUGAGGCUCAGAUGGGAGCUGUGACUUGCUCAAUGGCACACUGGCUCCUGUGCUGAGCUCCAACCCCAGGCUGGAAUGCUCACACACCCAAAGGUGGGCACUGUGUGUCAGGCCUCUGAGCCCAAGCUAAGCCAUCAUAUCCCCUGUGACUUGCACGUAUACAUCCAGAUGGCCUGAAGUAACUGAGGAAUCACAAAAGAAGUGAAAAUGGCCUGUUCCUGCCUUAACUGAUGACAUUACCUUGUGAAAUUCCUUCUCCUGGCUCAUCCUGGCUCAAAAGCUCCCCCACUGAGUACCUUGUGACCUCACCCCUGCCAGCCAGAGAACAACCCCCUUUGACUGUAAUUUUCCACUACCUACCCAAAUCUUAUAAACAGCUCCAUCCCUAUCUCCCUUCGCUGACUCUCUUUUCAGACUCAGCCCGCCUGCACCCAGGUGAAAUAAACCGCCUUGUUGCUCACACAAAGCCUGUUUGGUGGUCUCUUCACAUAGAUGCGAGUGAAACUGUGAUCCUGGUGUCACAGGCCUGGGGUGUAUAGAGAAGUCAAACAUGGCUUCCCGUGUAAACUGUUAGUGUAAUGCGCAACCUUGUUUUUACUAACCCUAUUUUUAGACUCUCCCUUUUCCUUUAAUCACCCAGCCUUGUUUCCACCUGAAUUGGCUCUCCCUUAGCUAAGAGAGCCAGACAGACUCCAUCUUGGCUCUUUCACUGGCAGCGCCUUCCUCAAGGACUUAACUUGUGCAGGCUGACUCCCAGCACAUUCAAGAAUGCAAUUAACUGAUAAAAUACUGUGGCAAGCAAUAUCCGCAGUUCCCAGGAAUUCAUCUGAUUGAUAACGCCCAAAAAGCCCUGCGUCUAUCACCUUGUAAUAAUCUUAAAGCCUCUGCACCUGGAACUGUUUACUUUCCUGUAACCAUUUAUCCUUUUAACUUUUUUGCCUACUUUAUUUCUGUAAAAUUGUUUUAACUAGACCCCCCUCCCCUUUCUA